GUAGGUGAACCUGCGGAAGGAUCAUUACCAAACGAGUGAGAAAUCGCUCUCUACCUGCUCGGUGGCCCUCGGGUCGCUGACCGGUUUUAACCCUUUGUGAACCAAAAAAACCUUUUCGCUUCGGCAGUUGGGCCUGACCGUUUGUUAGUCUGUCGUUAGUACUAAACCACAAACCUGUUGUCAAAACAUUGUCUGAUAACCAAAUUUUCGAAUGAAAAUUAAAACUUUCAACAACGGAUCUCUUGGUUCCC
rnacentral:misc_RNA from 1 species